GUCUACCGCCAUACCACCCUGAAUGCACCCAAUCCCAUCUGAUCUCAGAGGCUAAGGAGAACUGGGCCUGGUUAGUACUUGGAUGGGAGAGUUUAGCUGAAUUGCAAGGUGAGAAAAAAA
rfam:Nomascus leucogenys chromosome 7b, whole genome shotgun sequence.